AAAGUUUGGAGAGGGAGUAAGAUCAUUAUAUUCAAUGGAUUUGAGAACCAACCUGCAUAACGAUUUGAUAUUUUGAUUUUAGAGAAAUGGAGUGCAAAUAAAUACUAUGAACAUGAAAGAUUAUUAUUUAUUUAUGUUUUGUUGUGAUUACAAUUUUCAGAAAAAGAAAAAAGAAAAAAGAAAUAUCAUAGAUGUGGAUGAAUAAAAUUAUA
rnacentral:lncRNA from 1 species